GGGGAUUUAGCUCAGUGGUAGAGUGCUUGCCUAGCAAGCGCAAGGCCCUGGGUUCAGUCCCCAGCCCCG
rnacentral:tRNA from 1 species